GCGGCGAACGGGUGAGUAACACGUGAGUAACCUGCCCUGGACUUUGGGAUAACCCUCGGAAACGGGGGCUAAUACCGGAUACGACACAGUCUCGCAUGGGAUCUGUGUGGAAAGUUUUUCGGUCUGGGAUGGGCUCGCGGCCUAUCAGCUUGUUGGUGGGGUGAUGGCCUACCAAGGCGACGACGGGUAGCCGGCCUGAGAGGGCGACCGGCCACACUGGGACUGAGACACGGCCCAGACUCCUACGGGAGGCAGCAGUGGGGAAUAUUGCACAAUGGGCGGAAGCCUGAUGCAGCGACGCCGCGUGAGGGAUGACGGCCUUCGGGUUGUAAACCUCUUUCAGCAGGGACGAAGCGCAAGUGACGGUACCUGCAGAAGAAGCGCCGGCCAACUACGUGCCAGCAGCCGCGGUAAGACGUAGGGCGCGAGCGUUGUCCGGAUUUAUUGGGCGUAAAGAGCUCGUAGGCGGCUUGUCGCGUCGACCGUGAAAACUUGGGGCUCAACCCCAAGCCUGCGGUCGAUACGGGCAGGCUAGAGUUCGGUAGGGGAGACUGGAAUUCCUGGUGUAGCGGUGAAAUGCGCAGAUAUCAGGAGGAACACCGGUGGCGAAGGCGGGUCUCUGGGCCGAUACUGACGCUGAG
rnacentral:rRNA from 1 species